rnacentral:rRNA from 1 species
UACAUAGGUGGCAAGCGUUGUCCGGAUUUACUGGGCGUAAAGGGCGUGCAGGCGGUUUGUUAAGUGCAGGGUGAAAGCUCCCGGCUCAACUGGGAGAGGUCCUUGCAUACUGGCAGACUUGAGGGAGGCAGAGGAAAGUGGAAUUCCCGGUGUAGUGGUGAUAUGCGUAGAUAUCGGGAGGAACACCUGUGGCGAAGGCGGCUUUCUGGGCCUUACCUGACGCUGAGACGCGAAAGCGUGGGGAGCGAACCGG